rnacentral:rRNA from 1 species
CCUACGGGUGGCUGCAGUGGGGAAUAUUGCACAAUGGGGGGAACCCUGAUGCAGCGACGCCGCGUGGGCGAAGGAGUAUUUCGGUAUGUAAAGCCCUAUUAGCAGGGAAGAACAAUGACGGUACCUGACUAAGAAGCACCUGCUAAAUACGUGCCAGCAGCCGCGGUAAUACGGCUGGUGCAAGCGUUAACCGGAUUUACUGGGGGUAAAGGGAGCGCAGGCGGCGCGUUAAGCCUGGUGUGAAAGCCCGCGGCCCAACCGCGGAACUGCAUUGGAAACCGGCGCGCUGGAGUGCCGGAGGGGUAGGCGGAAUUCCUAGGGUAGCGGUGAAAUGCGUAGAUAUUAGGAAGAACACCAGUGGCGAAGGCGGGCUACUGGACGGUGACUGACGCUGAGGCUCGAAAGCGUGGGGAGCAAACAGGAUUAGAUACCCGAGUAGUC